rnacentral:rRNA from 1 species
GUGGGGAAUAUUGCACAAUGGGCGAAAGCCUGAUGCAGCGACGCCGCGUGAGGGAUGAAGGCCUUCGGGUUGUAAACCUCUUUCAGCUCUGAAGAAGCGAAAGUGACGGUAGGAGCAGAAGAAGCACCGGCUAACUACGUGCCAGCAGCCGCGGUAAUACGUAGGGUGCGAGCGUUGUCCGGAAUUAUUGGGCGUAAAGAGCUUGUAGGUGGUUUGUCGCGUCUGCGGUGAAAUCCCAACGCUUAACGUUGGGCUUGCCGUGGGUACGGGCAGACUAGAGUGUGGUAGGGGAGACUGGAAUUCCUGGUGUAGCGGUGAAAUGCGCAGAUAUCAGGAGGAACACCGAUGGCGAAGGCAGGUCUCUGGGCCAUAACUGACACUGAGAAGCGAAAGCAUGGGGAGCGAACAGGAUUAGAAACCCUUGUAGUCC